rnacentral:rRNA from 1 species
GACGAACGCUGGCGGCGUGCCUAAUACAUGCAAGUUGAGCGCUGAAGGUUGGUACUUGUACCAACUGGAUGAGCAGCGAACGGGUGAGUAACGCGUGGGGAAUCUGCCUUUGAGCGGGGGACAACAUUUGGAAACGAAUGCUAAUACCGCAUAAAAACUUUAAACACAAGUUUUAAGUUUGAAAGAUGCAAUUGCAUCACUCAAAGAUGAUCCCGCGUUGUAUUAGCUAGUUGGUGAGGUAAAGGCUCACCAAGGCGAUGAUACAUAGCCGACCUGAGAGGGUGAUCGGCCACAGUGGGACUGAGACACGGCCCAAACGCCUACGGGAGGCAGCAGUAGGGAAUCGUCGGCAAUGGACGAAAGUCUUACCGAGCAACGCCGCGUGAGUGAAGAAGGUUUUCGGAUCGUAAAACUCGGUUGGUAGAGAAGAACGUUGGUGAGAGUGGAAAGCUCAUCAAGUGACGGUAACUACCCAGAAAGGGACGGCUAACUACGUG